GAUGAAGAACGUAGCGAAAUGCGAUAAGUAAUGUGAAUUGCAGAAUUCAGUGAAUCAUCGAAUCUUUGAACGCACAUUGCGCCCGUCAGAAUUCUGGCGGGCAUGCCUGUUCGAGCGUCAUUACGCCCCUCAAGUCCCCUGUGGACUUGGUGUUGGGGAUCGGCGAGGCUGGUUUUCCAGCACAGCCGUCCCUUAAAUUAAUUGGCGGUCUCGCCGUGGCCCUCCUCUGCGCAGUAGUAAAACACUCGCAACAGGAGCCCGGCGCGGUCCACUGCCGUAAAACCCCCCAACUUUUUAUAGUUGACCUCGAAUCAGGUAGGACUACCCGCUGAACUUAAGCAUAUCAAUAAGCGGAGGA
rnacentral:misc_RNA from 1 species